rnacentral:misc_RNA from 1 species
AAAACCAGUAACUAAAACCCUUGAAAACCCCUGCUUUCUCUGAGAUUGAAGCUGAAAAACAAAUGGGGAGGGUCAAAAAUAGAAUUGACUAUGAAAAUCUUAGAAAUGCUCGCAUCUUAGAAAACCAGGCUCGAUUGUCCUCUCUGGGGCUACAAAAAACUCUAUCUGAUCUUCGAUCCCUCACUUCUUCUGCGAAAGCGGAGAAGGGAAGGACCCAGAAGAGAAAACAUGAUAAAAAAGUUUAUGGGACCACUGAUUUACGUCGCUCUGAUCGAUUGAAGCAUAUUGCCACCAACUCAUCAGCCCUCAAGGCUCUCCCUAUGAGGCGUUCUAAUCGCCUGAGAGCAGAAUCUAGCGAACCCAUUUCAUCGAAGAAAGUUGUAGUAGUUAAAGGAAAUACUGAUUAUGAGAGUGAAGAAGAGAGUUCAGAUGGAGAGAAAAGGCCUGCAAAUGCCCCAUUUGUGAAGAUAAAGGGUGUGAAUCUUCUUUCUCUGUCGCCUGAGGCUUCGGCUCGACGCUGCCACAGCAAGGGCAGAGGCUCCAUCUAUGACCCUGUUUUUGGGAUUUGCUGCCAUUUCUGCAGACAAAAGAAAUUGUGUGGGGAAGAAGAUUGCAAGCGUUGUGGUACUCUUGAUCCAGAUCAGCCAUGCAUAGGAAAAACAGACUGUUCAGUAUGCCAUUCCACAAAUGGUGUUUUCUGUCGAGCUUGUCUCAAAGUUAGGUAUGGCGAAGGUAAGCUUUUAAAAAUUAUACACUCUUGUAGCCCUUGUAAGCUUUAAAACUUUUAAAGAAGGAGCCUCAGAUAUAAUACUAAAUGAAAGAGGAAAGAAGUGGCAUUUGGGAUCAUAAUCUAUGUUGUUCUUGAAAAUUUCUAAUUUUUCAUUCAAAUCUUGGUCAUGAUGCUUUGCUUUUUUAGAAAUGGAGGAGGUAAGAGAGAACAGGGAGUGGAUGUGCCCUCAUUGCAUAGAAGAAAGAGGAAUAAAGCCUUUCUGGAUAUGUAACAGUUCACUGUGCUUAAAGAAGCGAAAGAUGGCACCAACUGGGAUUGCAAUAUUCAAAGCUAGAGAAAUGGGAUAUGAAUCAGUAGCACAUCUGUUAAUGGAGGAGCUUAAACGAAGAAACAAACUAAAGUCACUAUGAGGAUGAUGUUCUUCUUCCCCUUCAAGAAUCAAGAUCAACAUGCUUCAAGAAUCAAGAUCAACAUGUAACUAGAAACUAAUAUCAGGGCACCUAAAGUAGCAGAAGGUGGGAAUUAUUUUGGUGAUGAUGUAUUAACUAACAAUGACAAAUGCAUCAAUGCAUGUAUCUUUUGUAUUUUGCUGCAUUGCUUUUGGCAUGCUUAUUUUCUUCCUCUGUAACAUGCUUGCUGGGUUGUAGAUGUUGGGCUAUGGUUAGCUUCAUUUAUCAAGAAACUUGUUAUUGAGAAACUGUGUCUUUUUCAAUGUCUGGAAUGAAAAUCACGUUGUAUUUUUUAUAAUUUCCUUUAAUAUUAAAUGAUUGGUUCUGAAAU